ensembl:lincRNA Gm5860 predicted gene 5860
AGGGAUACCUUCUCCCCUGUCUCCUGCGAUGACACAGAAAAUACAUCCGAGGAAGUGGUUUCAGGAUUCCCCUGGGAAAAGCGGACACAAAGAUAUUGAAAGUAUAUUUGUGCAAAGACAAAACAGUAAAUGAUGAGAUUCCAAGCCUCUCCAACUCUCUUGCUCUUCUAUUAAUUCUCGGACUUUCUCAUCACUAUCUAAAGAAAAGUCAAGUUGAAGGAGUUAUGUAGUCUCCCCUCCCCCAGCCUGAAACCUGCUUGCUCAGGGGUGGAGCUUCCUGCUCAUUCAUUCUGCCACNNNN